AAAGAUUGUACAUGAAUAAAGAGAUGGCUGUUGGAUGUGGCCCACGUGAUAUAUUCAAGACGAUCCAUAAAGAUACGGUCAAUCUAUUUAAGUCGAUCUAUAAAGAUAUUUUAGAUCUUACGGUUAGGAUGUAUCUGGACACGUCCUUGAUGGACGGACGUGAUUUAACAUCCUUACAUUAAGUUAUAUAUAAAUAUGUAACAUACGGCAGUCCCGGUCUAACCCUAAUCCAAUUGUCUGUGACGGCUCCAUCUCCGGGGAUAAGGGAAUUAGACUCGAAACGUCCCGUCUUCUUGCAGAUCACGAACGAGGACGAACCACGAGCAAGGAUCGCCACUUACAAAUCGGGUACAGAAAUCGAAAUCAUGGCAAAAGGUACGAUCUAGUUUCUCAUAAAGUUUCUAACAUGUGGUAUCAGAGCCAAACCUUUUGCCGGAUUUUCGUUUCUUUCUGGAUUUCGUUUGGUUUUCUUUUCAUUAAAGAAAAGUAAAUAAAUAAAUUCGUCGAUGAUUUGUGUUAACGGUAAUGUCGGCCGAUCUCAAUCGAGAUCGACGUUCUGAGAA
rnacentral:lncRNA from 1 species